GAAGUCCAGGGCUAGGAGCCUCAGCCGGCGGACGCCAGGAAACAGUUACUGAUGCUACAAUAUUCCUUUAUGAAGCCAAGAACUGAACCAAAAUACAAACAACAUAAACUACCACUUGAUGAGAAGAACUUCAAAGUCAAAUUGCAAAAGGUGACUAAAAAAGGGGAGUACUUUCAGCCGUUUUCAAAAUAAUCUAUGAUAUGUACUGGAAAACUUCUAAUAAUCCUUGUCAUUUUACAACUUUCCCACAGUUAGAUCAUCAGCAAAUGUCACUUGGAUCCCUAGCUAAAUUGUUCUUCCCAGAAAAUAGUUAUCUCCACUAUGGAAAGUAUUUUAUCAGAAGAAUUCGUAGAAGUAGAAUCUGUUUGUCUUCAGUUAAACAAAAGAAGAACCUCAUUGCUUUCCAACUGGGCCCCGGCCAUUUUCCAGUUGAAACAUCAAAUAUUUUAUUUGUGUCUUUCACUGCCAAUUAAAGGGCAACAGAAAUGGUACAGGCUCCCUCUGCAGUGGAAUUACCCUUAUGUCUUUUCUGUCUAUGCUGAUCCACCUGAUCUUGAACUGGUGCUAUUCCAUGGGGAAAAUUGGAACAUGGGGCAAUUAACACUUUCUCCACUUUAUCCCAUCAACAGGAAAUUGAAAUAUAACCAACUAACUCAGGAGACAUCAUGGAAGAUGUCACACAGUGAAUGAUGAUGAAGCAGAAUUUUUAAAAUGUGUAGGAUUACGAGAAGUGGGGUCAUUUUUCUUUGUGUAUGGUAUUGCUGAUGCAGUUUAAUGCUCCAUUACUUCUAAAUUUUCAUCAUAAGCUAGAUUUUCCAGUUGUGGUUUCUAUAAAGAAAAACAAACAUUCUGAAGACAGUUUUUCCAGAUUUAUUCCAGAUAUCGAUGAUUAACUUUUGAAGCUCCUCUGUUGAUUUGAACAUCCGCUGAAGCUUAUUUUUCACCUCAGAAUAGCAUCAACAUUAUUUGAAAUUCAAUUGUACUUUCUCGUUACAUUAAUAAAUCAUGGAAGUUGAGAAAA
rnacentral:lncRNA from 1 species